rnacentral:rRNA from 1 species
AAACUCAAAUGAAUUGACGGGCCCCGCACAAGCAGCGGAGCGUGUGGUUUAAUUCGAUGCUACACGAAGAACCUUACCAGGGUUUGACAUACAAGUAGUAGGGAAAGGAGACUGGACCGACCCUUCGGGGAGCUUGUACAGGUGCUGCAUGGCUGUCGUCAGCUCGUGUCGUGAGAUGUUCGGUUAAGUCCGCUAACGAGCGCAACCCUCGCUGUGUGUUACAAGUGUCACACGGAACUGCCGGUCAUAAACCGGAGGAAGGUGGGGAUGACGUCAAGUCAGCAUGGCCUUUAUAUCCUGGGCUACACACACGCUACAAUGGCCAACACAAUAGGUUGCUAAGCCGCGAGGUGGCGCCAAUCCAUAAAGUUGGUCUCAGUUCAGAUUGUAGGCUGCAACCCGCCUGCAUGAAGAUGGAGUUGCUAGUAACCGCAGGUCAGCUAUACUGCGGUGAAUACGUUCCCGGGGCUU